CUAAGCUCCAAGCCAUCCAGAGUGCCUUAGUUACGCAUAUGCGAAGGGGGUCUAGAAAUAUUUAGCUGAAAGCAGAUAAAAGCUCGGAGCAGGCAAAAACGAUGCUGUCACUAAAAUUUGAGUGAAAGGUCAGGAAAAUGAUGUUUCUAAGCUCCAAGCCAUCCAGAGUGCCUUAGUUACGCAUAUGCGAAGGGGGUCUAGAAAUAUUUAGCUGAAAGCAGAUAAAAGCUCGGAGCAGGCAAAAACGAUGCUGUCACUAAAAUUUGAGUGAAAGGUCAGGAAAAUGAUGUUUCUAAGCUCCAAGCCAUCCAGAGUGCCUUAGUUACGCAUAUGCGAAGGGGGUCUAGAAAUAUUUAGCUGAAAGCAGAUAAAAGCUCGGAGCAGGCAAAAACGAUGCUGUCACUAAAAUUUGAGUGAAAGGUCAGGAAAAUGAUGUUUCUAAGCUCCAAGCCAUCCAGAGUGCCUUAGUUACGCAUAUGCGAAGGGGGUCUAGAAAUAUUUAGCUGAAAGCAGAUAAAAGCUCGGAGCAGGCA